AUACGAAGGGGGCGAGCGUUGUUCGGAUUUACUGGGCGUAAAGGGCGCGUAGGCGGCCAUCUUUGUCAGGCGUGAAAGCCCCGGGCUCAACCUGGGAACUGCGUCUGAGACGGGGUGGCUAGAGAUCGGGAGAGGAGCGUGGAAUUCCCAGUGUAGAGGUGAAAUUCGUAGAUAUUGGGAAGAACACCGGUGGCGAAGGCGGCGCUCUGGACCGAUACUGACGCUGAGGCGCGAAAGCGUGGGGAGCAAACAGGAUUAGAUCCCCCGGUAGUCCUAGCCGUAAACGAUGUACACUUGGUGUGAGCCGGUGUUCGGUUUGUGCCGAAGUUAACGCGAUAAGUGUACCGCCUGGGGAGUACGGUCGCAAGGCUGAAACUCAAAUGAAUUGACGGGU
rnacentral:rRNA from 1 species